rnacentral:rRNA from 1 species
AUUGAACGCUGGCGGCAGGCCUAACACAUGCAAGUCGAGCGAGCGGCGGACGGGUGAGUAAUGUCUGGGAAACUGCCUGAUGGAGGGGGAUAACUACUGGAAACGGUAGCUAAUACCGCAUACCAUCAGAUGUGCCCAGAUGGGAUUAGCUAGUAGGUGGGGUAACGGCUCACCUAGGCGACGAUCCCUAGCUGGGCUGAGAGGAUGACCAGCCACACUGGAACUGAGACACGGUCCACACUCCUACGGGAGGCAGCAGUGGGGAAUAUUGCACAAUGGGCGCAAGCCGGAUGCAGCCAUGCCGCGUGUGUGAAGAAGGCCUUCGGGUGGUAAAGCACUUUCAGCGGGGAGGCGUUACCCGCAGAGAAAGCACCGGCUAACGCCGUGCCAGCAGCCGCGGUAAUAC